rnacentral:lncRNA from 10 species
CCAAACGAUACAGACCCACAGAGUCUAACAGAUGUCUCUAUAUUCCUCCUCCUCGAACUCUCAGAGGAUCCAGAACUGCAGCCGGUCAUCGCUGGGCUGUUCCUGUCCAUGUGCCUGGUCACGGUGCUGGAGAAACUGCUCAUCAUCAUGGCAGUCAGCCCUGACUUCCACCUCCACACCCCCAUGUACUUCUUCCUCUCCAACCUGUCCUUGCCUGACAUCGGUUUCACCUCCACACGGUCCCCAAGAUGAUUGUGGACAUCCAGUCUCACAGCAGAGUCAUCUCCUAUGCAGGCUGCCUGACUCAGAUGUCUCUCUUUGCCAUUUUUGGAGGCAUGGAAGAGAGACAUGCUCCUGAGCGUGAUGGCCUACGACCAGUUUGUAGCCAUCUGUCACCCUCCAUAUCGUUCAGCCAUCUUGAACCCGUGUUUCUGUGGCUUCCAAGAUUUGUUGUCCUUGUUUUUUUUUCUUUUUUUUUUUUUUUCCUCAGGCUUUUAGACUCCCAGCUGCAUAACUUGAUUGCCUUACAAAUGACCUGCUUCAAGGAUGUGGAAAUUUCUAAUGUCUUCUGGGAACCUUCUCAACUCCCCCAUCUUGCAUGUUGUGACACCUUCACCAGGAACAUCAACCUGUAUUUCCCUGCUGCCGUAUUGGGUUUUCUUCCCAUCUCGGGGACGCUUUUCUCUUACUGUAAAAUUGUUUCCUCCAUUCUGAGGGUUUCAUCAUCAGGUGGGAAGUAUAAACCUUCUCCACCUGUGGGUCUCACCUGUCUGCUGUUUGCUGAUUUUAUGGAACAGGCGUUGGAGGGUAUCUCGGUUCAGAUGUGUCAUCUUCCCCGAGAAAGAGUGCAGUGGCCUCAGUGAUGUAUACGGUGGUCACCCCCAUGCUGAACCCCUUCAUCUACAGCCUGAGAAACAGGGAUAUGAAAAGUGUCCUGCGGCGGCCG